GAUGAACGCUGGCGGCGUGCUUAACACAUGCAAGUCGAACGGGAUCGGCUGGAGCUUGCUCCGGCCGUGAGAGUGGCGAACGGGUGAGUAAUGCGUGACCGACCUGCCCCAUACACCGGAAUAGCUCCUGGAAACGGGUGGUAAUGCCGGAUGCUCCGACAUGACGCAUGUCGUGUUGGGAAAGAUUCAUCGGUAUGGGAUGGGGUCGCGUCCUAUCAGGUAGUCGGCGGGGUAACGGCCCACCGAGCCUACGACGGGUAGCCGGCCUGAGAGGGCGACCGGCCACAUUGGGACUGAGAUACGGCCCAGACUCCUACGGGAGGCAGCAGUGGGGAAUAUUGCACAAUGGGCGCAAGCCUGAUGCAGCGACGCCGCGUGCGGGAUGACGGCCUUCGGGUUGUAAACC
rnacentral:rRNA from 1 species